rnacentral:rRNA from 1 species
AGUGAACGCUGGCGGUAGGCCUAACACAUGCAAGUCGAACGGCAGCACAGUAAGAGCUUGCUCUUACGGGUGGCGAGUGGCGGACGGGUGAGGAAUACAUCGGAAUCUACUUUUUCGUGGGGGAUAACGUAGGGAAACUUACGCUAAUACCGCAUACGACCUACGGGUGAAAGCAGGGGAUCUUCGGACCUUGCGCGAUUGAAUGAGCCGAUGUCGGAUUAGCUAGUUGGCGGGGUAAAGGCCCACCAAGGCGACGAUCCGUAGCUGGUCUGAGAGGAUGAUCAGCCACACUGGAACUGAGACACGGUCCAGACUCCUACGGGAGGCAGCAGUGGGGAAUAUUGGACAAUGGGCGCAAGCCUGAUCCAGCCAUACCGCGUGGGUGAAGAAGGCCUUCGGGUUGUAAAGCCCUUUUGUUGGGAAAGAAAAGCAGCAGGUGAAUAUCCCGCUGUUCUGACGGUACCCAAAGAAUAAGCACCGGCUAACUUCGUG